rnacentral:lncRNA from 10 species
AUGAAUGAAUCCAAGAAAGUAGAGAUCUCUAUGCCAUUUGAUGCUUCAAAUCUUUUAUCUUCAUUAUCACCAUCGUCUAAUGAAACAAAAGGUAUGUGGAGUGGCCCCUUCUGUUAUUUGAGACAGUAGUAGAUCCUAAAGAUGCCAUACUUCGGCUUCUCUCAAGGAAUUUUCAGCUGGUAAGAAUUACCUUGAUGUUCCUAUUUAUUUUCCAUUUCUGAUCUACUACUAUGCAAAACUCACAGGAAGAAAGGGCUAUAUGUCUUCAGCAUGGGGAGAUGGAGUUCAAGGAAGUGAGAUGAAUUAGAAAAGGAAAAGAAAAUGCACUCAGAUAUGUAGUACCCUUUCUCUUCCUGUUAUGAGUUCCAGAGAGCUCAUGAGGGAAUCUCAUUGCUUGUUCAAAUGCCCACUCAUAGCCAAAGGCCAAAGCCCUGGUUUUCAUUUCUCAUCAUCCAACCCUAGUAGCCAUACCCAGAAGAAUACAAGGUCUUGCAUCCAGGAGUUAUAUACCACCAUGGAGACCUGGCCUAGCUUCCCAGGAAACACUGGUCAGGAGGAUACCAUUAUAGCCCAGACCAAAGUCACCCUUCAAUACAAGUUGAGAGAUGCACAAAGAAAUAAGUGCUCAGGGCAGUAUUUCUCCAGAGAGCUAUUUUGGAUUCCACAUAAGAGUAAUGGUGGCCUUGGAUAAAUCAUUCCUCUCAUUUAUGUGCUGAAUGGGAGAAAACGAGUCAACAACUGAUGCAUGCAAAAGCAUUUGGAGGUGAUGGAUGGAGACAUUAUGGUGCAUUUCGUCAAUGGCAUGCCAUUAGAGAAAACCAUUUCAUAGAGUAAAUUAAAAAACAAACCAGCUACGUGACACACUUGGAAUUGCCACUGGCCAUGUGGGUUUUUCUCCUUCAGGAAUGAAGCUACUUGGGAUUGACACUGCCAUUAGCAGGCAGACUCCCUUUCCUAGGCUAGCUGCCUGUGCUUGUCUGAGUUUUAUGCCACACCUCGCACGUCCCCAUAUCUAUGGCCACUCAUGUAACUGGAGAAACCUGUGUAUUCCAGACCCCAACUUUCUUUUAUUGUUGUCUUAACUAUUAUUUACAUCUUUUAUUACCAUUUACCUUCAUGUGUCAAUAUCUUGUUUUCUUCAUCUAGUUAUAAAGACUCUUUCAUGGUAAAUACUGGGUCUUACAAAUGAAGCUUACUAGCACAGCACCUGGCUUAUGGUGUUCAGUAAAUAUUUGUUGAUUUCAUCUGUGAUUGAUUUUGCCUAUUUUUCUCGCAUACCUAGCUGUUAUUUGCCAAAUAGUGAUUAAUUCAUUAAGAAGGUGUUUCUUCAGACCUAGAUGCUGGGAAUGCAGAUAGAAGGCAUGGUCUCUGACCUUGGGGAGCUCAUAUGCAGACACGCAACAAUCAGAACGUGGCACAGCUGGACGUAUAUGUGGGAGGCUAUGGCAGCACCAAAGGGGGGUGUUCUGGGUCAAGGUAGGUUGGGGGAUCCAGAAAAGGCUUCCAGAAAAUAGGAGUUCCUUUUAGGAUUAUGUAGUUGCUACCUAAACAUGAUAGCCCAUUUAUACAAAAGGCAUGGUGGUGAGCCCAUGCAAACAGGGAGCAUUUGGGUUCAAGUCAUUUGUGAUUUCAGGAUCUUCAACUGAAAAGCUCAAC